UUAGCCCUUAUAAUAAACAUUUGUUUUGCAAACUUUUCACACUCCCGAGUGUUCUAAAUUUACAACUUCUACUGCAUGCAUAGUUUAAGUAAAAGGGAAGAGCACUCGGUUAGAAGCUCAGUAUCCCCAGUCAGUUACCUAAACUUGAACAACGUAGUAUAUAAAACUAAGCCGAAAAAUCCUAAAGUGGUUGGUAAGUAUAUUCUCGGAGAUGUCGUUGGUGAAGGUUCGUUUGGAAAAGUAAAAGAGGCUAUUCACUGUGAAAACCUCCUUAGAGUGGCAAUUAAAAUUCUAAAAAACAAAAGGAUUAAAAACUUUCUGUUGGAAACAUUAACGUUAUAA